CAAUUUUAAAUUGAAAAAAAGUGAUAUUUCUAAGCCGAUUUUCGAAUAUCUCUCCAUUCCAAACGAAAGAGCAUACUUUUUUCUAUAUAAUGGCAUAUUCUUUAGAGAUCUUUUCUAAAUAGUUAAAAUUUUAUGAAGAAUAUAGACAAAAUUUGAGUAUCGUUCGAUAGCGAAUUUUCAUGGUUUUUUCAAUUUUAAUUUGGAAAAAAGUGAUAUUUCUAAGCUGAUUUUCGAAAAUCUCUCAAUUCCAAACGAAAGAGCAUACUUUUUUCUAUAUAAUGGCAUAUUCUUUAGAGAUCUUUUCUAAAUACUUAACAUUUUAUGAAGAAUAUAGACAAAAUUUGAGUAUCGUUCGAUAGCGAAUUUUCAAGGUUUUUUCAAUUUUAAUUUGGAAAAAAGUGAUAUUUCUAAGCUGAUUUUCGAAAAUCUGACUAUUCCAAACGAAAGAGCAUCUUUUUUUCUAUAUAAUGGCAUAUUCUUUAGAGAUCUUUUCUAAAUACUUAACAUUUUAUGAAGAAUAUAGACAAAAUUUGAGUAUCGUUCGAUAGCGAAUUUU